rnacentral:rRNA from 1 species
GACGAACGCUGGCGGCGUGCCUAAUACAUGCAAGUAGAACGCACAGUUUAUACCGUAGCUUGCUACACCAUAGACUGUGAGUUGCGAACGGGUGAGUAACGCGUAGGUAACCUGCCUGGUAGCGGGGGAUAACUAUUGGAAACGAUAGCUAAUACCGCAUAAUAUUGAUUAUUGCAUGAUAAUUGAUUGAAAGAUGCUAUUGCAUCACUACCAGAUGGACCUGCGUUGUAUUAGCUAGUAGGUGAGGUAACGGCUCACCUAGGCGACGAUACAUAGCCGACCUGAGAGGGUGGUCGGCCACACUGGGACUGAGACACGGCCCAGACUCCUACGGGAGGCAGCAGUAGGGCAUCUUCGGCAAUGGACGAAAGUCUGACCGAGCAACGCCGCGUGAGUGAAGAAGGUUUUCGGAUCGUAAAGCUCUGUUGUAAGAGAAGAACGGGUGUGAGAGUGGAAAGUUCACACUGUGACGGUAUCUUACCAGAAAGGGACGGCUAACUACGUG